CUCUCAGGAAAAGGAGAGUUCUGAAACUUGAACGAUACAGAGAAGAUUAGCAUGGCCUUUACACAAAGAGGACAUGCAAAUUGGUAGAGCAUGUCAGUUUUUA